rnacentral:rRNA from 1 species
AAUAGUCCUGUAUGUUAAACGAGAAGACUUCAGAUAUGAUCCAGAGUACCACGGGACACGUGAAACCCUGUGGGAAGCAGGAGGGACCACCCUCCAAGGCUAAAUACUACCUAGUGACCGAUAGCGUAUAGUACCGUGAGGGAAAGGUGAAAAGAACCCCGGGAGGGGAGUGAAAUAGAACCUGAAACCCUGCACUUACAAGCUGUGGAAGCACAUUUCUUGUGUGACCGCGUACUUUUUGUAGAACGGGCCAACGAGUUACGUUAAGUAGCAAGGUUAAGCACUUAAGGUGCGGAGCCGUAGCGAAAGCGAGUUUUAACUGAGCGUUCAGUUACUUGACGUAGACCCGAAACCGGGCGACCUACCCAUGAGCAGGAUGAAGCGAAAGUAAAAUUUCGUGGAGGUCCGAACCCACGAGCGUUGAAAAGCUCGGGGAUGACUUGUGGGUAGCGGUGAAAUUCCAAUCGAGCCCGGAGAUAGCUGGUUCUCCCCGAAAUAGCUUUAGGGCUAGCCUCAAGGUGAGAGAUACGGAGGUAGAGCACUGAAUGUCCUAGGGGGUAUUGCACCUACCGAAGACUAUCAAACUCCGAAUGCCGUCAUCUUAUACUUGGGAGUCAGACUGUGGGUGAUAAGAUUCAUAGUCGAAAGGGCAACAGCCCAGAUCGUCAGCUAAGGUCCCUAAAUGUAAGUUAAGUGGUAAAGGAUGUGGGAUUGCACAGACAACCAGGAUGUUGGCUUAGAAGCAGCCACUCAUUCAAAGAGUGCGUAAUAGCUCACUGGUCGAGUGAUCCUGCGCCGAAGAUUUCCGGGGCUAAAACUUACUACCGAAGCUACGGCAUCAGUAAUGAUGGGUAGGGGAGCUUCCCAUACGGGUUGAAGCAUGACCGUAAGGACAUGUGGACAGUAUGGGAGUGAGAAUGUUGGCAUGAGUAGCGAGAUGUGGGUGAGAAUCCCACAGGCCGUAAACCCAAGGUUUCCAGGGGAAGGUUCGUCCGCCCUGGGUUAGUCGGGACCUAAGCUGAGGCCGAAAGGCGUAGGUGAUGGACAACAGGUUGAUAUUCCUGUACUACCGAUAACCGUUUGAGAGAAGGGAUGACACAGUAGGAUAAGCUAAGCACACUGUUGGUUAUGUGUGCCCAAGCAUUGAGGCAGUCAAAGCAGGCAAAUCCGCUUUGAUAAUGCUGGGAUGUGAUGGGGAGCGAAAUUUAGUAGCGAAGUAGCUGAUUUCACACUGUCAAGAAAAGUCUCUAUCGAGGUUAAAGGUACCCGUACCGCAAACCGACACAGGUGGGUGAGGAGAGUAUCCUAAGGCCAGCGAGAGAACUGUUGUUAAGGAACUCGGCAAAAUGACCCCGUAACUUAGGGAUAAGGGGUGCCACCAUCCGGUGGCCGCAGAGAAUAGGCCCAAGCGACUGUUUACCAAAAACAUAGGUUUCUGCUAAGUCGCAAGACGAUGUAUAGGAGCUGACGCCUGCCCGGUGCUGGAAGGUUAAGGGGAUCUGUUAGAGCAAUCGAAGCAGUGAACUUAAGCCCCAGUAAACGGCGGCCGUAACUAUAACGGUCCUAAGGUAGCGAAAUUCCUUGUCGGGUAAGUUCCGACCCGCACGAAAGGCGUAACGAUUUGGGCACUGUCUCAACAACAGACUCGGUGAAAUUGUAAUUCCGGUGAAGAUGCCGGAUACCUGCGACAGGACGGAAAGACCCCAUGGAGCUUUACUGUAGCUUGACAUUGGGUCUUGGUACUACAUGUACAGGAUAGGUGGGAGGCUUUGAAACCAGGACGCCAGUUUUGGCGGAGCCAUCCUUGGGAUACCACCCUUGUAGUACUGGGACUCUAACCAUAGGCCAUGAAUCUGGUCUUGGGACACUGUCAGGUGGGCAGUUUGACUGGGGCGGUCGCCUCCCAAAAGG